CUAAUUUGAGCAUCGUCUUCUAAAAAGUAGAAACUAGGGUUUUAGGGAUUUAAGUACAAGGUGUUUGAUAAUAUGUGUAAGAGAAAUGGGUAGGAAAGAGCAAGGGUAGGGAAGACUAAGAAGGCUGUGGCAUUUAACUUGACAAUUAAAAGUGCCCACAAAGCAGCAAAAUUGAAACAAAAAAUCAACUCAAUCGAAUGGAAAAUUGACAAAAGGCUGGAAAUUGAAACGAAAUGAAAGAGGAAAAGAAAGUAGGAAAGAAAAGAGAUAGUGGGUACUUUAUAUAGCUUAGAUUUCACUUCAGCCAUCCAGGAAAAUUGAUAAUAAGCCAAAGCUCAUUUUACAGAACACCUUUUUUAAAAGCAUUUGGAUAGGGAAUAUGGGUAGAGAAUUCAACGACAACUCAUUGAGUACACAGCCAGAAGCAUGUCCCCAGAAGACACUCUUCUUUUUGUUCCCUUUGAAGAAGAAUCAAUAUUCAUAUCCGAUAUCCAAAUGCAGCCACAGGGACAAAUAUUCUAUAUCGACGGUCAACUUUCACUGAUAAAUGAAGACCAACAUUUCUGCUCCAUGGCGUGCUCAGAUUGUAAAAUGCCAUUUUUAAGAACUACUUCACCAAGGCCAAUCUACUGCAUCCAGUGCGAAAGAUCCACCUAACUUAUUCCCAGAAUCCAAUUUGAAGUUAUGGUCAUGGAUCACACUGGUAGCACAGUAGCCUCCAUCUCGGAUCAAUCAACAACGAAGAUGUUGAACCUCACUGUACAAGAGAUUUAUGACAUCUGCCAUGCACAGGUAUUUUAUAUCAUCGAAUUUAUAAACUUAUGACAAUCAUCAUGACUAACUAACUUUUUCUCGCUGUUUGCGCUACUUUUUGACAAUGCGCAUAAACAAUUGGGACCAAAGACUUUCAGAAUCCAAAUGAAAAGAUUAUUUUCCAAAAAUCAAGAUAGGCUAGCUAUCAUGAAUUAUGAGGAAAACAAACCUACCAACCAACCAUUACCAACUGCACCAAUGACCAGCACUGCUGAAGCAAGCAAGCGCAAGGCUAUGGAGAUUGGCUUCGACCGAACGAAUCAGCAGAACCUGCCCACCAAAGACAGACCUUCCAGCACUAGACAGAAAACAGAAACCAAGACUCCUCUCAAAAGGGAGUGAAAGCUACUGGAAAUGUUUUGCCAACAAGUUUUUGGAGCACAUCUUUUUGCCAAUGCACUGUCAAGCUACUAUUUUUUUGCCACAAGACUGUCUUUUUGAAAAGCUACAUUACAACCAUAUGUGACGCCCCAUGCUUUAAAAAGGUAUUUUGUCAACCAUGGCAUCGCACAACUACAACAUGCAUGAUUGCUACUAAGAAAAUACUUUUUCUGUAAAUAUGUGGUAUAAAUGAUGUAUAUAUGACAGUGCAAUCAUCAAUGUAAUAGACAAAUGAAUAUAUGCAUAAACAGUGCAAACUUAUUUUAGUUGUCUUAUACUAUCUUACCUCAUUACUUACAAUAAUCUUCUUACUGUUGGAUAUUUUAAAUCAUCCCUGAAUAUUGUGAAAGUGAACGAUUUUUACGUUGGUU